UGGAUGCAAUGAUGACCGCAUAGUUCAGCUUAUUACCCAUGACGAAUAAGAGCAUUGUCUUUCGCUCCUAUCUGACGUGUCUU